rnacentral:rRNA from 1 species
AUUGAACGCUGGCGGCAUGCCUUACACAUGCAAGUCGAACGGUAACAGGUCUUCGGAUGCUGACGAGUGGCGAACGGGUGAGUAAUACAUCGGAACGUGCCCGAUCGUGGGGGAUAACGAGGCGAAAGCUUUGCUAAUACCGCAUAAGAUCUAUGGAUGAAAGCAGGGGACGGCAAGGCCUUGCGCGAACGGAGCGGCCGAUGGCAGGUUAGGUAGGUGGUGGGGUAAAGGCUUACCAAGCCUACGAUCUGUAGCUGGUCUGAGAGGACGACCAGACACACUGGGACUGAGAAACGGCCCAGACUCCUACGGGAGGCAGCAGUGGGGAAUUUUGGACAAUGGGCGCAAGCCUGAUCCAGCCAUGCCGCGUGCAGGAUGAAGGCCUUCGGGUUGUAAACUGCUUUUGUACGGAACGAAAAGCCUUCUUCUAAUAAAGGGAGGUCAUGACGGUACCGUAAGAAUAAGCACCGGCUAACUACGUGCCAGCCGCCGCGGUAA